rnacentral:rRNA from 1 species
UACGGAGGGGGCAAGCGUUAUUCGGAAUUAUUGGGCGUAAAGGGCGCGUAGGCGGCCUGCUAAGUCGAACGUGAAAUCCCUGGGCUCAACCCAGGAACUGCGUCCGAUACUGGUUGGCUUGAAUCCGGGAGAGGGAUGUGGAAUUCCAGGUGUAGCGGUGAAAUGCGUAGAUAUCUGGAGGAACACCGGUGGCGAAGGCGACAUCCUGGACCGGCAUUGACGCUGAGGCGCGAAAGCCAGGGGAGCAAACGGG